rnacentral:rRNA from 1 species
UGGGGAAUUUUCCACAAUGGACGAAAGUCCGAUGGAGCAACGCCGCGUGCAGGAUGAAGGCUCUAGGGUCGUAAACUGCUUUUAUAUGUGAAGACUUCGACGGUAGCAUAUGAAUAAGGAUCGGCUAACUCCGUGCCAGCAGCCGCGGUCAUACGGAGGAUCCAAGCGUUAUCCGGAAUUACUGGGCGUAAAGAGUUGCGUAGGUGGCAUAGUAAGUCUGUAGUGAAAUCGUGGGGCUCAACCUCAUACACAUUAUAGAAACUGCUAAGCUAGAGGGCGAGAGAGGUAGCUAGAAUUCCUAGUGUAGGAGUGAAAUCCGUAGAUAUUAGGAGGAAUACCGAUGGCGUAGGCAGGCUACUGGCUCGUCCCUGACACUAAGGCACGAAAGCGUGGGGAGCGACCGGGAUUAGAUACCCCCGUAGUCCCUGAGCGGGCUGGCAAGGCGCAU